UACGUAGGGUGCAAGCGUUGUUCCGGAAUUAUUGGGCGUAAAGAGCUCGUAGGCGGUCUGUCGCGCGGCUCGUGAAAUCCCGAGGCUCAACCUCGGGUCUGCAGUCGAUACGGGCAAACGUAGAGUAUUGCAGGGGAGACUGGAAAUUCCUGGUGUAGCGGUGAAAUGGCGCCAGAUAUCUGGAGGAACACCGGGUGGCGAACGGCGGGCAUCCUGGACCGGUAUUGACGCUGAG
rnacentral:rRNA from 1 species